AGCCAGUGUGGUGUAGUGGCUACAGUGCUGCACUAAGACCUUGCAGACCAGGGUUCAAAUCCCUUCUUGGCCA